AGGUGCAACCGCCUGAUCCCGGAAUUCCGGGAUUUGAUCGUUUUGAGCUCCAAAUUUAAACUGGGUUGGGGCCUAUAAAUACCCCACCCAUUCAGCACUGAAAAGAUACAGACCUAUACCGAAAUCUUGAUCUUUUCUGUGAUUCUAAGAGCUCAAAAGUGUUGUAAAGCCUUUAAGUCUCCUCCUUCUGUUCUUCAAGUUU
rnacentral:lncRNA from 1 species